GACCCUCUUCCGAUCAAGAAUCUUGCCCUUAACCUGCUUGUUUACAAUGAUGCCCACGGCAUGCUGGGUGACACUUGUGGGGCGUUCCUUUUAGAACAGUACCCAUUCCCUUGAUGUCUACAAUGUCACCCUUCUUGUAGAUUCGCAUGUAUGUGGCCAAAGGAACAACCCCAUGUUU